CAAUAGCGUAUAUUUAAGUUGUUGCAGUUAAAAAGCUCGUAGUUGGAUUUCUGCUGAUCGCUGUCGGUCUGCCGUCAGGUGUGUACUGGCAGUGUUUGGCAUCUAUUCGAGAUUGGGUGUCCACUUGAUUGUGUGCACUCGAUGUCGGAGCUAAUACUUUGAGAAAAUUAGAGUGUUCCACGCAGGCGCGUGCCUUGAAUACUGCAGCAUGGGAUAUUGGAAGGCCGAUUGAGCUUUCUUGUUGGUUCUCGGUUUGAUCGGAAUGAUUAAUAGGGAUAGUUGGGGGCAUUCGUAUUCAACUGUCAGAGGUGAGAUUCUUGGAUUUGUUGAAGACGGACUACUGCGAAAGCAUCUGCCAUGGAUGUUCUCAUUG
rnacentral:rRNA from 1 species